rnacentral:rRNA from 1 species
GAGUUUGAUCCUGGCUCAGGACGAACGCUGGCGGCGUGCCUAAUACAUGCAAGUCGAGCGGACAGAUGGGAGCUUGCUCCCUGAUGUUAGCGGCGGACGGGUGAGUAACACGUGGGUAACCUGCCUGUAAGACUGGGAUAACUCCGGGAAACCGGGGCUAAUACCGGAUGCUUGUUUGAACCGCAUGGUUCAAACAUAAAAGGUGGCUUCGGCUACCACUUACAGAUGGACCCGCGGCGCAUUAGCUAGUUGGUGAGGUAACGGCUCACCAAGGCAACGAUGCGUAGCCGACCUGAGAGGGUGAUCGGCCACACUGGGACUGAGACACGGCCCAGACUCCUACGGGAGGCAGCAGUAGGGAAUCUUCCGCAAUGGACGAAAGUCUGACGGAGCAACGCCGCGUGAGUGAUGAAGGUUUUCGGAUCGUAAAGCUCUGUUGUUAGGGAAGAACAAGACCGUUCGAAUAGGGCGGUACCUUGACGGUACCUAACCAGAAAGCCACGGCUAACUACGUGCCAGCAGCCGCGGUAAUACGUAGGUGCAAGCGUUGUCCGGAAUUAUUGGGCGUAAAGGGCUCGCAGGCGGUUCCUUAAGCUGAUGUGAAAGCCCCCGGCUCAACCGGGGAGGGUCAUUGGAAACUGGGGAACUUGAGUGCAGAAGAGGAGAGUGGAAUCCACGUGUAGCGGUGAAAGCGUAGAGAUGGGAGGAACACCAGGCGAAGGCGA